CCCUGGAGAAAGGAAUCUUCUGUCAUUCAUCAACACAAUUAUUUUUAAAUCAUUUAUCACACAUUUGACUACAGCCUGAGCAGAACGAUGAAGGCUCAGUGGUGUCAUGCUGGAUCCUGAGGUCCCAGGCAAUAGUGAGGGUGGCAGCAGUCAUGGUGGUCCUGUAUAAGUGGCAGAAGCUGCCACUAGGAGUUUCCUCCUGCUUCCCCAUGUCCUGCACUAAGAUCAAAAGUGGCAGGAGUGGCCACCUGGAGUCACCACCUCCUCCUCCUUUUCUGCUCUGAAGUCCAUGAAGGCCUGCAGCACUAAUCACAGUGGGAGGGCAGCCGAGAGAAGUAUGAACAUGAAGGUGACAGUGAAGGCAGUAGUGCAAGGAGUGAGAGCCACAGAAAUAAAAUAGAGAAGGCAAUGCUGAACAGGCAAUGCAGCCAGACAUAUGAAUUUCCAUGUUCUAAAUAUGAGUCCAACAAUCACAGUGUGUGUUGUGUUACCACAUUUAGGCAAAUGAUAGCAUGAGACCAUGGAAUCUGAAGAGACGACUAACCUAAGCUGCUGGCUUAGUGCAAAGCCAAAAGGUACUGGGGUUGAAGAGGGCAGCCCACAGGUAGGCAG